rnacentral:lncRNA from 1 species
AUACCUGGUUUGUGUGCUCCUAAGGACAAACCUAGAGCCACCAUAUGUGCUAGGCAAGUAUUCUGACUAAGCUACAGCCUUUGACUUCUGUGAUUGUAUCAUCUUCCUUCUACACCGCUCUAACAGUUUCUGGUCAUCUCCCUAAUCAAAACCACUCAAGAGGUGGGGGCCGGUAGAUCUGUGAGUUUGAGGCCAGCAUGUUCUUCAUACCGAGUUCAAGGACAACCAGGCCUACAUAAUUACAAUCUUUUAAAUUCUGUGUGUUCUUUAAUUUGUCUUAACCACGUGGCAUUUUCUUCCCUCUGCUUUAAUUUUUUUUUCUUUUGGUGGAGUGGUGACAGGUCAUAGAUCUUACAGUAGAUAACCUACUGUAAGGGAUCUACUGUAAGAGUGAGCCCUGGUAUCAUACAAAAAGGAGUUUCAAAGCUCAACACUCACAGUCACAGAAUGAGCUAGCUCACUUCACCAAGUAAUGAAGGCUCGGCCUUUGAAGGAUAUCAUUGACCAUAAAUAGUGAACAGGACCCAGUCCUGUUUAUUGUCACACUACUACCCUGUUGCUAAUUACAGCCCAUAAUAUUGUUCAAUUUGAUUUGACAGAAUUAGCCUUUGUAGAGAAAAGAACUUUAAAAUGUUCUGGUAUUGUAAGUUGCAUAACUGAUCAUUGGUUGAAAAGCAAAUCUUUUCCAUGCUUCGGUUUUGCCUCUGGUGGUUGGUGGUGUUCGUUUGUGGGUUUGGAAUAUUGGAGAUGUGUAUUGGUUACUUUCCUCAUAGUUGUGACCAAGAUACCUCCAAGAAGCAACUUGAGGGAGUCAGGCUUUCUUUCAGCCCAGGGUUUGAGUAUCACAUGAGAGUGAGGAAGGCAUGGCAGCAGGAAACAGGCAGCAGCAUAAGGCUGCUUGCUCACAUCUGGCCAAUCAGGAAGCAGAGCUAUGCUAUAGCCCUCCACACCUGCCUCUAGGACACACUCCUAGCUAGGUCUUAUCUCCUAAAGGUCCUCAACUUCCCCAAACACUGCCACCAGCUAGUGACUUAGUGUUCAGAUAUAUGAACCUGUGAGGAACAUUCUGCUUUCAAAUCAUAACAGGAUAGAACCCAGUACAUAAUAGAAUGAAUGGAACCUUUAGUCGGUUGGUAGAGGUAGUUCUUUGCAGGCCUGACCGCUUGCAUUAUACUCCUGGGUCCACAAGGUGGCAGGAGAGAACCCAACUCAGGAUAGUUUUCCUCUGACCUCCACAGGAGUGCUGUCCACACACACCUUUACACAGGGACAGUCUUUCUCUUUGAAUACAUUUUAAAAAUUGAAGAAAAUCACACUGUUGUUUGUAAACUAUCUUGGAGAGUAAAGGUCUUUCUUUUUUUAAAAAAAAAUUUUUAAAAAAGGAUUCUUCUUGUUGCUUUGGCUAUCCUGAAACUCACUCUAUAGACCAGGCUAGCCUCAAAAUCUGAGGUCAGCCUGCCUCUGCCUACCAACCACCACCAUCCAGCUAGGUUUUCUUUUUGGAUUCCUGUGGAGCAAAGAGGACACCUUGCAAGAGUUGAUUCUCACCAUGUGGGUCCCUGGGAUCAAACUGGUUGUCAGGCACAGUGGCAAGUGCAUUACUUGCCGAGUCAUCUUGCCAGCCCAGUUACUGGGGUUUGAGAACCAAAGCAAUGUUUUUACUUAGUUUUCUCUUUUAUUUUCAUAUAGGAAGGGCUUUUUAUUUAUUUUUUCACCUUAUCAGAGAUUUUAAACUUACCAGUGUGCAGGAUUAAUCUCUAAGGUGUGUGGAGUUCAGUAGAGUUUGUAAAUUUGUUGGAAUCACAGCUACGGGUGUAGGCUUGUUGUGUUAGUGCCUGCAACUUUGAAACUAGUAAAUCUCAGACUUUAUUAGCUGUUAGACACAGAUUGAAAUUGGCACCAUUUCAAAAUCACCACUAGCACUUAACAAUGUCCAAUUAAAAAUGUUUUGACAGAUAUAAUUUUGAUUUUUCUUAUGCAUAUAUACAUUUACUCUUGUUUUUUUUGUUGGUUUUGGUUUUUUUUUUUUUUUUUUUUUUUAAGGAUGGGGCUCACUUUGUAGCCUAGACUGGUCUUGAACUCACUAUGAGGAUUACAAUUCCUCCUCCUUCUCUAGCCUCCAGAGACUGGGAUUACAGGUGUGCCCUGCCAUACCCAGUUUAAAAGUGUAUUCUGAUGAGUUCCACAGGUAUUGCCAAAGUGCCCCAAGAAUCUGACACCCCUUAGGGGAAGCGAGCGUUACUCCUGUUCCCUGUGAGAGUGAGGCUAGCCAGACCUAUAAAGACACACAGCAGAGAGAUCGUGUCAUAGGAUUAUGUAAUCAUAACGUCACAGGUUAAGUCACAAAUUCAAACAGAAUAUUUUUCAAUUAGAAAGUGAGGUGCCACCAAUUAAAUGGGUGUCUUAAUUUGACUUGGGCUUUCUGGCCCUGUUUCCAGUAGGUUCAGUUCACAUCAGCAAAUAUACUUCACAUUCAUUGAACUAUACAGUUGGAAGAACCUCUAAAGAGGUCAUUGAACGUCAGCCUUGAAAUUCUUGCCGAUUAGAAGCACACAUCCUUCCUUCAGCCUCUUCUGAUUAUAUUAUAGUACUUACUCUUAGCUCUCUGUCACUUAGAAACCUUAGUUGAGUAGAAGGGAAGCAAGUGGUUUAAUAAUUACUCUAAUUUGAGGGAAAUCAGGUACUCAUUUGGAAAUUGUAUAUUUCUAAUAAAAAACCCAGUAAUUAUUUUAAUGACAACAUAGUGUGAGGUUUAUAUCAUCAGUAAUUAGGAAGGCUGUUUAAAGGCUGGGCAUGAUGUAGUUCAGUUCAGUUGGUGAGUGCUUGCCUAGUUAGUGUUCAGUGUAUUUAGCAAUAAGUCUUUU